rnacentral:rRNA from 1 species
GAAGCCGGUCCCAAGGGUAUGGCUGUUCGCCAUUUAAAGUGGUACGCGAGCUGGGUUUAGAACGUCGUGAGACAGUUCGGUCCCUAUCUGCCGUGGACGUUUGAGAUUUGAGAGGGGCUGCUCCUAGUACGAGAGGACCGGAGUGGACGAACCUCUGGUGUUCCGGUUGUCACGCCAGUGGCAUUGCCGGGUAGCUAUGUUCGGAAAAGAUAACCGCUGAAAGCAUCUAAGCGGGAAACUUGCCUCAAGAUGAGAUCUCACUGGAACCUUGAGUUCCCUAAAGGGCCGUCGAAGACUACGACGUUGAUAGGUUGGGUGUGUAAGCGCUGUGAGGCGUUGAGCUAACCAAUACUAAUUGCCCGUGAGGCUUGACCAUAUAACACCCAAGCAAUU